rnacentral:rRNA from 1 species
GACGAACGCUGGCGGCGUGCUUAACACAUGCAAGUCGAACGGAGUUCCUUGGAUAGAGGCUUCGGCCAAUUGAAUUGGAACUUAGUGGCGGACUGGUGAGUAACGCGUGAGAAACCUGCCUUUCAGUGGGGGACAACAGUUGGAAACGACUGCUAAUACCGCAUAACACUUUAGUACCGCAUGGUACAGAAGUCAAAGCUUUAUGUGCUGAGAGAUGGUCUCGCGUCUGAUUAGCUAGUUGGCGGGGUAACGGCCCACCAAGGCGACGAUCAGUAGCCGGUCUGAGAGGAUGAACGGCCACAUUGGGACUGAGAUACGGCCCAGACUCCUACGGGAGGCAGCAGUGGGGAAUAUUGCACAAUGGGGGAAACCCUGAUGCAGCGACGCCGCGUGAAGGACGAAGGUCUUCGGGAUCGGUAAACUUUUGGUCUCCAGGGACGAUAAUGACGGUACCUGGGGAGAAGCCACGGCUAACUACGUG